CCUUUUACCUGGCAGGAAAGGCUAGCUAUGAUCCUAAGGUAGUUUCCCAGAGUGAGGCUGCUCAUUGUACUCGUACUCAGCUGACCUCUGCGAUUUCUCUCUAAAAUGUGGGAAAUCUCUACUGCAUAAUUUAUGGUAGUGGGGGGACUGCGUUCGCGCUUUCCCCUG